rnacentral:rRNA from 1 species
ACACGUGGGUAACCUGCCUUAUAGUGGGGGAUAGCCUUUCGAAAGGAAGAUUAAUACCGCAUAAGAUUGUAGUAUCGCAUGAUAUAGCAAUUAAAGGAGCAAUUCGCUAUAAGAUGGACCCGCGUCGCAUUAGCUAGUUGGUGAGGUAAUGGCUCACCAAGGCGACGAUGCGUAGCCGACCUGAGAGGGUGAUCGGCCACAUUGGGACUGAGGCACGGCCCAGACUCCUACGGGAGGCAGCAUG